GGCGGAGCUUCUUUGUCCAAGGGAAACAAGAACUCCAGCCUAGUGUUGGGUGGGUCCAUGGCAGGAGCGGGGCGCGGCCAGCAUGGCAAGGCGGAUCCAUGGCGGGGAGUGGCGGGAGCAGGACGACAUGCCCGUGGCAAGCAGUCGGAGCGGCGGCACGGUAGUUUUGGGUCUCUGCUUUUGCGAUAGCUGUUGGAGAAGGAAUGUUUUGGGUUUGCUAUCUAUAUACUGUGCGUGACCUAAAUCAAAGAAUAGGUCUCCAUUUUAGGUUCUCUUUGUUGGAGAUAGUCCUAGAGGUUACUCGUAAGGGCACUCGAGGGGCUUGCAUUUUGGGUAUAGUGCGGCCUCUGUCCUUAUGUGUGUAGGCUGCACAUCAUUGUGCCAUUUGGAAGGUGGUUCUAUAUGUGCGCACUGAUUGGGAACUUGCGGCCCUAACUUGUCAGAUGAACUUUUGAAAGGUUUCAUAGUGAAUCCUGCCGACCACCCUAGGAAGGGGGUUAAGAGACUCGCGACCUCGGGUGAAAGGAUAAAUCAUUACUCAUGGAUAAAGAUGUACAACUUCUGCAGAGUAUUUAAUAAACUAGUAUACUAGCUAUGCUCACGGUCAUGAGUGGCCUUGGGGACUCUUACAUUAAAGAUGAUGAUUCUUGUUAUGUUAUUAUGCUCAAUGUUUAUUGUUUUAUGCUCUACAUUAUUUAUAUCACAUUGAUCAUGAGUUUGUGGGAUCUGCUACUACCUUAUUGCUAUAUUUGUGGAGUUCGACGGGGACUCACUCUUGCUAUUUCCCCCACACCAGAAGCUUUAGGCUUGUGAUCAUGAGUUGAUACCCGAAGUCUGGAUUUAUCUUCCGUUGUUUGCUGCCUAAGGUUAUCACUGAUUUACUAAGUAUUACAGAAUUGCUUGACGAGGAAGCUAGCAAAUAUCUGAGCAGCAUCAUUGAGAUAGCGAAGAGGGAUCUACUCUGUUGGCAGGCCUUGAUAAAGGCGGUGGCGUUGCCUAGGGUUCGCAAGAAGGACUCAUAUAUAGUCUAUUGAUCAACUUCUCGCCCAAGAAUGUCACAUGUCAUUGAGGGCAUCGCUUAUGCAAGAGAGAGGUUGCAGCAGCCAAUCUCCAACUCUCCAUGCGGCUGUGCAGAGGAAAGCCGGGCGAAAUCAUGGUUAGCUUCCGGUCUACCUUGUUGAUGAUGGAACAGAAUCAAAAGGGACCAGCAGGCAACUUGCCAUUCAGCACUAGAGGGCCAAUAGGUAGCCCGCCAGUCAGCAGCUAGCACUGCAGCAGCCCCAUUGUUGGAACUGCAAAACAAUUUUAAUUUUCAUGGGAUUGCUUGUUGCUUUUGAGGAUGUCAGCAAGUUUGCAUCAACAUCAGUGAUAAAUUAUCUUCUGAACAAGGAUAUGAACUUUCAUUUGUCUUUCUCUGUUGCUAAAAGCAUACUAAAGGCAACGUCGCUUUGACUUUUUUUGGACAUAUUAUUAUAUCUGGAUACAUACCAAAAUGGUUGCAAUAAAAAGUCAAGCGACUUGUAAUUUGGGACGGAGGGAGUACUAAUUAAAGGACACCAUAUUUUCGAUGAA